rnacentral:rRNA from 1 species
AGUACGUGAAACUGCUUAGAGGUUAAGCCCGAUGAACCUGAAUAUCCAUUAUGGAAAAUUCAACAUUAAUAUUAUAAUAUUUUUUAAUUAAAAUAUUAUGAAAAUGGUGUGCAAUUUUUCCAUAUAAGGACAUUGUAAUCUGUUAAUGUAAUAUAUAAUUUAUCAUAAGAUUCAAUAAAUAAAAAGUUUAUUUAAAUUAGUUAUUUUCGGAUUUCUAACAUAGAAUAAAUUUAUAUUGAAUUUGAUAAAUCAUUGACAGAUUUAUUUAUAUAUAGUGCUUUAAAUUCUUUAAGGAAUUUUACAAUAAUUUUUAAAUGUAUUUUCAUUUAUUAAUUUAUUGUAUGCACUUAUAUGAUUAACAAUGCUAUAGAUUCAGGAUACCUUCGGGACCCGUCUUGAAACACGGACCAAGGAGUCUAACAUAUGUGCAAGUCAUUGGGUAUUUUUAAUAAAACCCAAUGGCAUAAUUAACUUAACUGUUUUUUUAAAUUUUAAAAAUUAAAUGGGAUUAGUUUAUAUUUUAUUAUGAAAUAUUAAUUCAAUCCCAGGGCGUUCUAUACAGUUAUGUAUAAUAAUAUUUAUAUUAUUUAUACCUCUAACUAGAGCGUACCUUCAGCAUAUAUGCUGUGACCCGAAAGAUG